rnacentral:misc_RNA from 1 species
UUUCCGUAGGUGAGCCUGCGGAAGGAUCAUUAUUGAAAUAAACCUGAUGGGUUGUUGCUGGCUCUCUAGGGAGCAUGUGCACGCCUUGUCAUCUUUAUAUCUCCACCUGUGCACCUUUUGUAGACCUUUCAGGUCUAUGUUGCUUCAUUAUACCCCAAUGUAUGUUAAUAGAAUGUUGUGCCUAUAUUAUAAUAUAUACAACUUUCAGCAACGGAUCUCUUGGCUCUC